UGGGAUGCUUCUCAGAACCAGUUGCUGCC
rnacentral:piRNA from 1 species